GAGAGAACUGUAGAUGGAAAACUCUUAGUUAUCCACACAAUAUCAGCCUGUGCAGUGGUGAAGCAAUCUUCUCUCUCAUUCUUCCAUUAUGCCAGAACCCUGACCUAAAGGGACCACCUCCGGGAAGAGAAGAAAGAUCAGCAACUAAUGGAGUUCUUGGCCUCUCUGCU
rnacentral:sRNA from 1 species